UAAAGCCGGUCCGCGUAACAGCUGGACAAAAAAGGCAAUCUUAGCGUCAUCGGUUUCAUACGUCCUCCGUAACUGUCUAAACUGCAUGGUUAUUUGGGUCAGAAAACCAGCACACUUGUGAAACUCACCCGUGAAGGGUUCAGGUGUUGGCAAAGCUCGCUCCGGGGGCUCCAAGGGAGUGGGAUGAGGCGAAGCCGAAGAUCCGGGUGCCGAAGGCUCAGAAGCCGGUAACUGUGAGGAGACAGAGGGAGGAGAGGCUGCUGGGCUUACCAGGGGUAUGCGCUGAGCAAAAGCCUGCGUUAGAGUGGCCAACUGCUGAUUGAGGAGCUGCAGCAUUUGCUCGUGGCGUUCCAAAACCUCCUCGGCCGUGGGGACGCGCUGCUGGGCGGCAGAGUCCGCUGAGUCCAUAUUCUGGCUGGAUCGUUAUGUUACGGUUCAGUGUAGGGCACUCAAACGCAGGACUCCUGAAUCUGCUGAACACAAGGGUUUAUUUACAGAGGUCACCAAUGUGUAUAUACAGAGAGUGCGGGGUAGUGCUAUGUACAGAAAUGUGAGGGAACUGAGAUGACAAACAGCUGGAGAAUCACGGACUCCAGCUCAGAGGGCAGAGUUAUCAUGUUGGUGCUCUGCCAGUUUCUAAAGAGGUUUGCACAGAGCAUGAAGAGAAAGGCUACAGAGGAAGAGAGCAGCAGUAUAAACCCCACUCCACCAAAGAAACACUUCAGACUGUGAAGCCUUUCUCAGAGAACUUAUUUCCUGAAGACUCUUUAAUAGUUUUAAGACUUUGGCACUGCUUUUGUGAACUGUGUUGGACAAAUGGCAGGGCUGUGGACUGGAUCUUGAACGAGGAACAUCUAUUGUAGAGCCAAGUGUAAAUCUGUGCAAAACGAACUAAGGAUCCAUAAAGACAGUGCCAAGUGUACAUUAUCCUCUGCUGCAUCUCACACAUCAGCAAGAACCAACACAGUGAAUCUGGUGAAAGGAGAAACAAAAAGAGACACACCACAAACGAGUUUCCCUGACUAACAUGAGAGGAGCAGUAACUGCAUAAGGAGGAAGAAACAGAAGCAUCCAAAGACAACUGAGAGUCUUCAGUGCACCGUGAACAGCAGUCACCUCAGAGCAACAGAGUCCUGGUGGCUGUCUGGGUUCUCUCCAGGAGCUUGGAGAUAAGAUACCAUAACUUAAAAA